rnacentral:rRNA from 1 species
UACGGAGGAUGCAAGCGUUAUCCGGAAUGAUUGGGCGUAAAGCGUCCGCAGGUGGCAAUGUAAGUCUGCUGUCAAAGCGUCUGGCUCAACCAGAUAAAGGCGGUGGAAACUACAUAGCUAGAGUAAGGUAGGGGUAGAGGGAAUUCCUGGUGUAGCGGUGAAAUGCGUAGAGAUCAGGAAGAACACCGGUGGCGAAAGCGCUCUGCUGGACCUUAACUGACACUGAGGGACGAAAGCUAGGGGAGCGAAUGGG